rnacentral:tRNA from 1 species
GGCCGGAGUGGCGUGCAGGUAAUGCUGGACGUCCCAGCCGUCCGGGUACGGUGCGUCCGGAUAGCCGCCGGCCCGGCCG